rnacentral:lncRNA from 1 species
AUGUACAUGCAGCACAAAUACCAAAACCUCUGGAUUGGUAGAGAUGUACAAGAAAUAUAUAGAGAUAUAGAGAUGUAUAAGAAAUAUACAACGCACACAUCUCUUUUAUACAUAGAUACACACAGAGAGACGCACACACAUAUAUAUAAAUUACACUGUCUAUAUAUAUAUCUACGUACACCCAGCCGGGUGCCCCCCACGUGUUUCAGCAGGGCUCUGCUCGGCGGCCCAGUUUCGGACGGCAGCCCCAAGGCCGCAGUCUCAGCUGGCAGCGAAGCGGGCGGUCGAACAAGGACGGCCGUGGGGAAGGUGCUUUGUGUCUUCGCCCCCCGUCCCACCCCUUCCACUCCCCCAAAACGAAGCUCGGGCACAGAACAGGCUCCCGUUCCGUCUGUCACUGGGCUGCUCCCAAGUCCCCAGGGGCAGCCGAACCCUCCGGCUGGAGCUCUCUGUUCCAGCCUCCCUCAGGACAAGGGCCCGGCGGCAACCUGCUGCCGAAGGUGCCGAGAUCCGGGAGCUCCGCGACCGGGCCGCUGCCGCCCCGAGUCGCCGCUGGACGAGGACACGCAGCGACUGUCGUACAACUGCAUCUCCGGCCCGGCUGCGAGCUGCACCUCGGCUCUGGGCUUGCUGGGAGACGCGGCCACGGAGGAAGAAAUGCUGCGCAGAGCAUCGCUCCCCUCGCCCUCAGCGUCCUGCCCAUCCCCUCGGGGUGCGGCCGGGGGACACCAGCUCAGGGCACUCAAGGCUGAAGAUGAGCCCAGGGCAGCGAAGGAGCAAGCUCUGAGCCGCGCCUCGGCCAGCUCCGCUCCGGCCCUACCGGCCACACGGACAGAGGGAUCGGGCCGCACCGCCCCUUACCUGCUGCUUCCCUCAGCGGCAGCCCCGACCCGAGUCCGGUGUCACGGUGUCACCGCGCGGGGAGCGGGGUCUGCGGCCGGUCAGCGCUGUCCGCCCGGUGCCUGCCGGAGGAGAACGUCCUCCUUCAGAGCAAUUUACAUUUAA